GCAGUCGAGGGAGAAGCUAUCUUCGGAUAGUGGAGACCGGCAGACGGGUGAGUAACACGUGGGAACAUACCGAGUAGUGGGGGAUAACAGUUGGAAACGACUGCUAAUACCGCAUACGCCCUUCGGGGGAAAGAUUUAUCGCUAUUCGAUUGGCCCGCGUUAGAUUAGCUAGUUGGUAAGGUAACGGCUUACCAAGGCGACGAUCUAUAGCUGGUUUGAGAGGAUGAUCAGCCACACUGGGACUGAGACACGGCCCAGACUCCUACGGGAGGCAGCAGUGGGGAAUAUUGCGCAAUGGAGGAAACUCUGACGCAGCCAUGCCGCGUGAGUGAAGAAGGCCUUAGGGUUGUAAAGCUCUUUCAGACGUGAUGAUGAUGACAGUAGCGUCAAAAGAAGUUCCGGCUAACUUCGUGCCAGCAGCCGCGGUAAUACGAAGGGAACUAGCGUUGUUCGGAUUUACUGGGCGUAAAGAGCAUGUAGGCGGAUUGGACAGUUGAGGGUGAAAUCCCAGAGCUCAACUCUGGAACGGCCUUCAAUACUUCCAGUCUAGAGUCCGUAAGGGGGUGGUGGAAUUCCGAGUGUAGAGGUGAAAUUCGUAGAUAUUCGGAGGAACACCAGUGGCGA
rnacentral:rRNA from 1 species